rnacentral:rRNA from 1 species
AACGGAGGGUGCAAGCGUUGUUCGGAAUUACUGGGCGUAAAGCGCGUGCAGGCGGUCUUUUAAGUUUCGUGUGAAAUCCCCCGGCUUAACCGGGGAACGGCGCGGAAAACUGGAAGACUUGAAUACGGGAGAAGUGGGCGGAAUUCCCAGUGUAGAGGUGAAAUUCGUAGAGAUUGGGAGGAACACCGGCGGCGAAAGCGGCUCACUAGACCGAUAUUGACGCUCAUACGCGAGAGCGUGGGUAGCAAACAGG